CUUAAAGCUAGCAGAGCCUGUGUCUCAGAGGUGCAAUUAAGGGACCUUAUGCAAACUGUUGUUUUCUAUAACCCAUGGUUCCCAGAAGAAGGCUUGCCAAACCUAGAGCUCUGGGAACAAGUGGGGAGAAAUCUUAACAUCAUGCACAAGGGCAACGGGUCCCAGUAACAUCUUUAACGUUAUGGGCCUUAGUCAGGGCUGCUUUGUCCCCACUCUACACAGAAGAGCCUAAAAAGGGAAGGGAGGAAGAACCAUCAUCUACCUUACCACCUCCUCCUUCUCCCUCAGCCCCGCCGUUACCGAGUAAAGGUGCCACAGAGGAGACAAAUAUUUUCCCUGAGCCCUCUCUCCCAAUAUAUUGGAAAAAAUACAAGGGAUACACUACUGUUAUGGGACCCUGUCUUAGUCAAGUGGAAUUAGAAGGGAGCUCUUGACCUGCCCAGUGAUGCAAGAUCAACAAGACAAUCAGUAAGAAACGUACAAACAUUAAGAAGAGCCUAUUCAGAAAAGACAGUCUUCCAGUUACCUUAUAAAGGCAAGGAAGAACUGGUAGUUUGAAAUAAAAUAAUUUCAAAAAGUGCUGUACCCCCUGAGUAUUCUGCUGUAAUAAGCCUGUUGAUGUCGUGGAUUACAUCGAUUUUCAAGUGUUGAUCUAGUCACGUACAUGAGAUAAAUCUCAUUUAGUAAUGACAACCCACAACCAACCAGCGUGACCUAUUUCAUCAAUAGUUUCUUACAGAAAAUGAAGUGAGUGUGAUGGGCACUGCUGAAGAAGUAACCAAACAGAAGAAUUUCAAAACUUUAUCAAUUUCUUAUAUUUUAUCUGCUGCAAACAUCCUUCUAUUAUUCCACUCAGGACCACUCCCCAAUCCAAGAAACAGCUGGAUAGACUCGACCUAUUUCAGACUCAGCCAGACUUGCCAAGUCAUCAUAUUACAUGCGGUCUGUUGACUGAUAAGCCCGUUCUAAUAUCCCCAAUUGAUGGAGAGGAUUUUUGGCCUCAGCUAAAAUCUUCCGUUGACACUCUGCCCAGGCUGUUAUGAGGUCUCAUGUAGGCUGAAUACUUGCCCAAGUCAUAAAAGUCUACAUCAUCAAGGCAUCUGUGGACCAAGACCAGAGCUUCAUAUAUAAUCCAAAUGAAGAAAUCAAGAAGUUGGUUAAAUCAACAAUCCUGGAGCUCAGUGGGGUAAACUGAAACCGGAAACAUUUAAAUAUUGUUAGCAUGCAGGUGACAUUUAAAGCCACAAGACCAGAAAAGAUGAUCUACAAAGAGGGUAUAAUUUGAGAAAAUAAGAAUGUAAGCACUGAGUCUUAGGAAUAUUUAACAUGUGGACACAAGGAAGAGAAAAAUGACCCAGAAAAGAAAAUUGAAAGGCUUGGUAUGUGAGCAAGAAAGAAAACCUGGAAGUGUUUGGUUUCAGAAGCCAAAUGAAGACAGAAUUUCAAGAUAGUGGGACUGGCUUACUAUCUGGAAGUGCUAUCAACCAAAGUCUAAUACUAUGCAGAUAGCAACUAGCAUGGCCAAUUUUGGGAAUUCAAAGAAAAAAUUUUAAUGGAAGUGUUAAUUACUAUAAUUCAUUACAAUGAUACAUCAAAGGAGAUGAAUAAUACAAUUAUGUUUAUAAAUGUCCCAAUAAGAAAGAGUAAAGGAUAUUAAGAGUAGAAAUCUGAAACUCAGCGACUACUUUCAAACAUAGUACUUGAAAAGUUUUCUAAUUAUUUAAAAUAUAAUAUCCUAAUUUGUAUAACUGGAGUUAUAAGAGUCCUGAUUUAUAGAGGUGAGGUUGCAGUGGAAUCAUAUAGGUAAAGUUCUUAGGAUAGGGGUCAUAGAAAGUACUGAAUUUUUUUUUUUUUUUUGAGGCAGGGUUUCACUCUGUCACCCAGUCUGGAGUGCAGUGCUGUGAUCAUGGCUCACUGCAGCCUCAACUUCUGGACUCAGGUGAUUCUCUUGCCUCAGUCUCCCAAGUAGCUGGGACUAUGUGCACCACCAUGCCUGGCUAAUUUUAAUACUUUUUGUAGUGACAGGAUCUCGCUAUGUUGCCCAGGCUGGUCUAGAAUUUCUGGGCUCAAGCAAUCCGCCCACAUCAGCCUCUUAAAGGGCUGGGAUUACAGGUGUGAGACACUGUGCCUGGACUGAAUAAUCAUUUUUAAUUAAAAUUUGAUAAGAAUGAACUCCCAUUCCUAACUGUUAAAGAAGAUUAUUUUUCUUUAACAUGAUAAAAAGUCUUAAACUACAGCAAAACUUUAAGGUAAAUUAAUUUUCACUGCAGUUACUUAACAAUAUCUUGGAAGUUCAUGCUAGGUGAGAGAGUUCUAAAGAAAACAAGUAAUUGCUAUUAGAAAAGGAAAGAGUAACAUCACCUGUCUGCAGAUAAUAUAAUUAUCUAUCUAGAAAUUUAGAGAGAAUAAAGUACUAUUUAAACCAAGGUAAUUUGCUCAUAUAUCCAGAUGAAAAAUAAAUGUGUGACAACUAGUACUCUUGCUAUUUAUCAGUAACUCUCUGGUAGGGUACAUGAGAAAGGCCAUAUCUCAUUGAUUAUUCAAAUUUUAAAAUAUUAAAUAUCCAAAAAUGCAUAGUCAUUGUAUAUCCAUAUAUUAUCAAAAUAUUCAGAGUAUUAUUACAUUCUUUUCAGGGACAUAAAAUAACAUCUUAAUUAUAUAUGUGUGUAAUAUUCUCAGAUGGGAAAAUGCCAUAAACAGCUAUCCCCAACACAUUUAUAUAGAUUUUUUUCAAAAAUUAGAAGAAAAAUUCCUUCUGGAAGGAACAGUUUUAAUUUUUUUUCUCCUAAGUUCAACACUUCUUUUUGGGAAGAAUAGAAAGAUCAGCCAAUAAAAUGUUAAAUGACAAGAGUCAGAAGGAGGGCACUUACUAGCCUCCCAGACAGUAAAACAUACAAAAAAUUCAUGAUGAUAAAAACAGUAUUUGUACUGGUGUAGUAGUAAAGUUCACUUUAUAUAUGAAUAUAAAUAUCAUAUUCUGAAGGCAUGCUGAAUUAGUGUGUUUCAAAUUAAUGGAACUGGAAAGACUGACUAAUCAUUUGAAAGUAAAUUAAGAAUCUUAUUUUGCCAUGAGCCCAAAUAUGCAGCAGAUGAACUGAAGACAAACAUAUAAAUAAUGGAACCAUUAAUUUUUAAGAUGAAUGUAUUUGUAAAUCUUUCUAAAAUUUCAGCUUUAGGGAUUACUUUUGCCUUAUUGUAAUAAAGACUAGCUUUCUAAAUUUCAAAGAUGGAUCUAGAGGAUAUUUUGUCCUUCAAAUGAGUGGGAUUUUACACUAGAAAUACAGGCUCACAAGAUAGGAAACUAAGCAAGUUUUAAUUUUUCCUCCUAGACUGUUCCUGUGGGUAAUGAAAUGGCAGGGAGUGGUAGCUAAAGAUAGUAGAGAGGAAUAGAGAUUUUCACACUCUCAGCUGAAUUGGUGCACACCAAUGGAAAAGAGAUUAGACUUUAAUCUUGCUGCCUGUGUGUCUCCAAGAAAACUGGGUCUUGUCUUCCCAGGGAAGGCACUCUACUUCCCCUUGCAGGUCUUAACACUCAAACAACUGCAGCUUUGGUGAAGUGCCUAUCUUAUUUCAUAGAACUACUCCAGACAGCCACCUGGAAGUCUCUGUUUAUAGGGCCAACUAGGUAUGGUUUAAAUCUUAUCAAGAAUUGCCAAGAAGACUCAAUUUUCUCUUAUCUCUCUCUCUCUCAUACACAUAUCCUACUUAAAAUAUAUUACGAAAUAUUCUUUCAUUAAAAAAAUUUAAUUCUAAAUUUAAUUCUAAAUUCAAGCUUUUGCCUUAUUAACUUGAAUCUGUCAACUUUAUACUUAACUCACAUAAUGUCUACAAGUUUCCAGCAAUUUAGUGAACAUGCUGGUGUUAAAGUAUUUUUAUAAAAGAGUGUGAUACCACAGUUUCUUCCCCUAAAUAAAUGUUGGGUGAAAAAUUAACAUCUGACAGGAGAUAAUAUUUGCAGCAUAUAAGAGUUAAUAUCAAUACAUCUUUAAAAUCUUAAUAAAUAAGGGACAAAUAAAUAUCCCAAUGGAAAUUUUGGAAAAUGCCUAAGCAAACAAUUCAGAAAUGGAUAAAUAUAUAUCAGCAAUUAACAUAGAUUUAAAAUGUUCAUUUUUCCUAGAAAGCUAAGUAGAUGCAAAUUAAAACAGUAAUACAACAUUUUAAAUUUUCAAAUGGGAUUUUAAAAAUAAAAUAACAAGACUGUAUAAAUAGGAAUUUUUAUAUAUUUUUAAAAAUUGUAAACGGACACCAUAUUUAGGACAAUUCAGCAGUACAUAGUAAGAAAUAAAUUUCUCACUGAAUGCCAAGACAUUCUUUUAAGCUACUGUGUAUAUUAGCUCACUUAAUCUUCAUAACAGUCUUGAGGUGUAGGUAUUAUUAUAGAUGGUGGACACUACAGAAGUGAGAAAAAUGACACACAGAGGGUAUUUGUGACAUUCCUAGGUGACAUAGCUAGCAGGGGGCAGGACCAGGGGUCUAACUAAGGCAGGCUGCUUUCACAGUCCAACUUCAAAAGUACUCUUCUGUCACCCUGCUCAAGGUUUUACAAUAGAAGUACUGCUGACAUACAAACUUACGUUAGAAGAAGAUGCUAAGGAAAUAGUCAUGAACAUCCAUAAAAAUUUCCUUACCAAUGUAUCUUAGCAACACCGUUUACACUAGAAGAAAAUUGAAAACAUCCAACACAGAGCGUACCUGAAUAUAAUAAGUGAAAUAAAGAUAUAUUGAAGUUAUUAAAAUGUUAUAAAAAGUAUGAGAUGAUAUAAAAAAUGUGCAAUAUAUUUAUUUGGUGAAAAUACGUUAAAACAGUACAAUAUAACAUUGUUUACAGACUCUGAAAUUAUAAAUAUCAAGGUAAUGGGUUAUUGUGUUUGAUUAACGAUAUUUUUGUUUACUUUUAAGGUGUAUUUAUUUCUAUAAAUAUUAUAAAAAAUCAAAUAAAUCUUUUAAGAUAGAAGAAAACACAUAUGAAAUUACUUAGUCUCCUCUAGGUAGACAGGGUUAUUGUUUCUUUUUUGUAACUUUCAUUUUAGGUUCAGUGGUACAUGUGAAGGUUUCUUAUAUAGGUAAAUUUGUGUCCUAAAGGUUUGUUGUACAGAUUAUUUCAUCAACCAGGUAUUAACCCUGGUACUCAAUAGUUAUUUUAUUUAUUUAUUUGUUUUUGCUCCUCUCUUUCCUCCCACCCUCCACCUUCAGGAAAAACUGAAAAGAAUUCAACAUGAUAUUUUUAUAUUUGACUAUAUAAAAAUGUAAAAUAUCUGUAUGAUAAAAUCAUUAAACUUUGAGGGCAAAUUUUAAAAUGUGAAAAAUAAA
rnacentral:lncRNA from 10 species